UUCGAUGGAUAGGGGUUCUGAGAGGAAGGUCCCCCACAUUGGAACUGAGACACGGUCCAAACUCCUACGGGAGGCAGCAGUGAGGAAUAUUGGUCAAUGGGCGGUAGCCUGAACCAGCCAAGUAGCGUGAAGGAUGAAGGCUCUAUGGGUCGUAAACUUCUUUUAUAUAAGAAUAAAGUGCAGUAUGUAUACUGUUUUGUAUGUAUU
rnacentral:rRNA from 1 species